rnacentral:rRNA from 1 species
UACGUAGGUGGCGAGCGUUGUCCGGAUUUAUUGGGUUUAAAGGGUGCGUAGGCGGUUUUGUAAGUCAGUGGUGAAAUACUCCAGCUUAACUGGAGGGGUGCCAAUGAUACUGCAGAACUUGAGUACAGAUGAGGUAGGCGGAAUUGACGGUGUAGCGGUGAAAUGCAUAGAUAUCGUCAAGAACACCGAUAGCGAAGGCAGCUUACUGGGCUGUAACUGACGCUGAGGCACGAAAGUGUGGGGAUCAAACAGG